CUCAGGAGGGUUUCUGGAUGCCAACGAGACCCCAGCCACAGCCGGUCCCCAGAUUCUUGACAUCAUCACAAGAAAGAAUUCACAGGGUUGCUUCAGCGUCCUCACAACAGGAUGGCUGACUUCCCCAAGAGAGCAGCUCAAGAGAGAGCAAGGAGAAAGACACAACAUCUUUAAUGAUCUAUGCUUGGAAGCUAUAUGUUGCCACUUUUGCAAUAUCCUACAGAUCGCUUAGCUCCAUCCAACAUGGAAAGGGAUCAGACACGGGCAUCAUUGCCAGAUGAUAAUCCCUGAUGGUCAUCUUGGAUGCUGGCCACCACAGUUACAUUUGAGGUCAGCGUUGCUUCCACUGCACCUCUGAAAGUACUCAGCUCUGCCCCAAACCUGGAGAGUGCCGCAUUUCUCCAGACUGCAAGAAACAGUGUGGAUGACUCAGUGGAGAUCAUAAUGGCAUCUGAGUGAUCAACGACAGCCUCCAGUUGCCACUUGGUGAGAGAACAAAGGAACCGGGGCAUGCUCAGCUAUGGCUGCAAGCCCUUCAAGUGAAGCUGGGCACUUACCCCCUUCAUUCCAUUCUCCUCAGGAUAACAGAUUAAAAUUCCAGAAGUGUGCACCUGUUGUGUAUUCAGGAGAUUGUCGUUGUGCAUAAAGAGACCACUUGAGGCCCUGUAAGCAAAGACUAAUGGGGCUGAGUCAAAAUCUGGGAAUCUGAUGAACUAACACACUCAAAUGAAACUGAUUUGUGGGCAAGUACGAAUAGAAUA
rnacentral:lncRNA from 1 species